rnacentral:lncRNA from 1 species
UCAUGUUCUUUUACUAGGUCCUGGCUCGUUUCUUCCUUUGCACAAAGGCUCAGGAGGUGUAUGGUGGUGGGGUUUCAGGCCAGGCAUCCAUGGCAUAUCAGAGCUGGAUCUUAAUUUCUCAACAAAUCAUAGAACUCUUGUGUUGUGUCGAUUCAGACUGGACUUUCAUUCGAGUCUUCCAUUUUCACAUCAGUUUGUUUAUCAGGCUCCCCUGUGGGUUCAUUGUUUUUAUUAUCUUCUUCCUUUGUAUCAUCAGUGUGAAUACCCAAAACUACGGGGUGAACUUCAGAGGCACCUAAUGUGGUAAGGACGACAUUGAUGCUUUUCAUUUGUUCAGCUGGUAGCUUCUUUUCCUCUAUGUUAACCUUUUCACUGUGUCUGUAAAUGGCGUAGAGAAGCAUCUGGAGCAUCCCCAAGAUGAAGCCUAGUACGUUAGGGAGCUGUCAAAUCAAAUCACAAACAACAACAAAAAAGAAUCAAUCUAUUUGUGGCUUCAAGUGAAAGUGAAGGGCGAAAUAAUAAAUAAAUGGUGUCCCACAAUAUUGAACUUACAGCUACACAGAGGUCCUUAAUAAAUAGUCCAUAAGCAAACCACAUUACUGCACUCAAUGUGAGGAAAAAUGAUAAGGUGAAAGGCAUGAACUCAACGCUCUUUGUUCGUAUAACUCGUGCCUGCAUGGAGAACAUAAUUAGAAAUUAAAGAAACUUAACUAGUUAAUUAAUC